AGAAUGUGCAAGUUAAUAAUUUUCUCCCACAAAUCAUGACACAGUACUUUCCCAUACAUAAACCUCCUUUAUACUAUCCUGUGUACUGGCCCUGUACUCGGUAUCAGGCUGAGAGCACUAUUGUCUCUGUUUCAGUCAUUUCCUCUUUACUUUGUGUGUUCUAGCUUGUUUUACUUCCUGUCUGUCUUUUGUCCCCCUGUUGCCGUCAGCCUCUUUUUCCUCGUCUUUCGGAUUUGUCGUGUUUCUGGAUUUUUAUUGACACUAACCUCCAUUUGGAAGACGAACAACAAUGUCACAGUUUAAUGAAGACUUUCAGGUGAACAACAGGUGAGCAUUGGCAGCAGUUGAAAGGAGUCCUCCACACGACCACGUCCAGCUACGGCUGUGUGGUUGCGGGCUCGGGUGAGUGGCUGUUGGUUCCACAGGUGUUAACAUGGCGAGUCUUCUUCAUGUUUCUGUGAAGGUGCCUCGCCUGUAUUUCAUGUCCAGUCUGGUCUCUGUGUUCGUGCACCUCCGGACCAUCUGUCAGUCAUGUCUCCUUGUCUCGUGUUUCCUGUUUUACUUUGACAGUCUCGCGUCCUGUGUCAGUGUAUUCGGUUUGGCUUCCUCCCCGUCUCGUUGUGUUUGAUCUCUCCCAGCUGUGUUCCCUGCGUGAUCCUCCUUCCUCUGUGUAUUUAAGCCCUGUGUUUUCCUCCCACGUGUCCCUUGUCGUCCACGCUCCUAGUUUGGUUUCCCAGUGUCUUAGUUCCUCAUUCGUGGUUUCUAGUUUCCUGUUUUUGUGUUUAGUAUUCUUGCUACAGCACAAUAAAGCCUCCUCUUUUAGUUUAGCCGUUUGAGUUUGUGAGUCCGGCCUCUGGGUCCUCUUCCUGCCUGCCACAGCACGUUACAUGACAGUUUCACAAACACGGGUGCAGAUUAUAAACUGAAGCAGAACAUCAGUUUGAUGCUGGAUUAAACAUCACCGCACAAACUUAUGUUCACUGUUCAAACAGCGUGGAUUACCAAGAUUUGCAGGAGGAGACUGAUUGAUUACGAGCGCUGAAUAAUCUUCAGAUUAAGCUCUGGCCGGCGUCACCGCUGAUCAGAGGUCAGCUGUGAAGCUCUUGGGCUUACUGACAUCACUGCGAGUCCAGGAAGUGUGUUCAGUUGCAUCAAGAACAUUUCUCAGAAGAGGCGGUGCCGGUGUCCGUGGCAGUGUGCUGGGGCUCCUCCCAGCUCGACAUGAAGCUCCUCCCCUACGUUGCAUUCCUGACUAAAGCUGCCUCAGCUCUUUGGUCCAGCACGUUCAGGUUUCCUCCUCGCAGUGCUUCAGCCUGGCUAACUUCACCAUCCUGCUGCCUCCUGCAGACAGAAUUACGGCAUGCUCUCAGCCCCAGGCCUCAGGUGGUGCGGUCGUAGGCCACGCCUCCACGUGCUGUCUUCAGAGGUUCAGCUGUUUUUGUUCCUCAGAAUGGAGCGCUCUGUUUACAGUUAGAAAGCAUUGUUAUCAGAUUGUUUCUUUGUUGGUUUAUUUCUUUACGAUGAAGCGAGAACAGACGCUCACGUGUCAGCACGUUGUGAGCGCCGCCGACACCACAGAGUAGAAAACAGUCAGCUUUGACCUCUGACCUCUCCAUCACACCGGCUGAUAAGCAUGAUGCAAAAGUAAAAUUUGAUGACUGCUCUGCAGGGCUGUGCCUCUCACAGUCUGCGUUUAGCUGCUGUUGAUGCAGAGGUCAGAGGUCAGGCCGGUGUGUGGACGUGACGGUAGCCUGACGAAUGGAUGCUCCUGCUGCUCCUUUAUGUGGGCGUGUCCACACUCUCAGGGGAAAUCCGCCUCCUCCUUUCACUCAGAGGGGCUUGGCGCCAAAAUAAUCAACGAACCCGCCCACCGCUGUCACGAGCAGAAGUCAUGAAAGUUUGGUUUAACGUGGUGAAGACGGAGAAACCACCUGCUACACGGAUAUCCCAGCACGAGCCGCUCUGCUGCACUUCCUGAAGCUCCUCCCCAUUUGUUUCCUCCGUAAACGUUCAGGUCUGCUACAAGUCAUCGAUAUUUAAAAGCUCUGAUAAGAAACGUUUGCAGCGCUGCACAUCUAUCAGAACAAACUCAGAUUUAAGUUCACGUUUCACAGAAGCGCUGUCCGUCUUUUAUAUACAGUCUGUGUCUGAGCUGGUUCAGGACGCACUGAUCCACAGAGAUCCACUGAGUCAGAGCGGGCGCUGCUGCAGCACACUGAGGGCCGCCGCAUGAACGCUCGGCCGUGUUUGCAGUUUUGUUAUCAGUGAGAUAACAAAGAGCGCCCUCAGAUUAAAGAAGAUAACGAGCCGUGUCGCCUCUGCUCGAUGUUGGUAUCAUCUUGUUUGUGAGCGGCGGGACGAGAUGGGCGUCUCCUGAUGAACCGUCUGAGCUCUGUUUUCAUCUUCCUGCAAAUCUGAGCGGCCGAUUAAAGCGGCAGAGAAGAAGAACAUCAGAUUUUUAUUCAACCGUCUCAGAUUUCAAACGUGAUGUUUCAGCAAAUAAAACCAUUUAACCUCAAAAUAAAAUGAUGAACAAAACAUAAACAUUAAAACAACAACAAAGGUUAAAGGUUAAAACCAGAUUUAAACACUAAGACAGAAAAAAAUAAUUACACUGGAGGUGUAAAAGCAAAUAACCAGAAGUAUUUAAAAAUACAUAUAUAUCAUAAAACUGUAAAAAAAAAAAUCCAAUAAAAAGCAAAACGCUAAAGGAUAAAAAAUUAUUAAAUAUAACUGAAUGAAUAAAAUAAAAAAACAACGCAAAAACUAAUAAAUUCUAAUUUGGUGAAGUUUUGUAAAAAUCAAACACAUGUCAGCUCAAAUACAGUGAAGACAGACGCAGAUAAACUCUCUGAUGUCUGUGAACGUUUCGUGGGCUCUGCAGGCCGCCGCGGUGCGUUCAGGCUCUCCCCGUUUCCUCUUGGACACAGAUGUGCACAGAUGUUUCAGCUCUCGUCAGUAAUGAGCUGCAGACGUUCAGCUGAGGUUGAGUAAUUCCACCACUCAUCCAGUCAGCUUCCUCCUCCUCUUCUUGGCGUGCACCUGAAGGUUCACCUGUGGAGCUGCAGGACUUACCUGUGCAGGUAUGCAGAUGCUCUGCUCCAGCACGCCUUUCGUGUUUCUCUAGUUUCUUGUUUGACUUUUUAAAAAUGAUUUCUGGGCGAUAACAGCUACAUCACACUGACGAUCAAUAAGGUUUUAUUGGUAAAUGAGCUCAGAGUAAAGCAGCAGGUGUGCUGACCUUUGACCUCCAGCUGACUGAUCAGGAAUGACUUUGACUUUGUUUGGCGCUCGAAUGUCGGUGACUCGGGCGUCCCGGUGAAGUGAGAGCGAUGAGCUUCUUUGCUCUAAUUUAACACGAGCACAUUAACGAGCGCAUGAACGCGUCGGAUGAUUUAAUCUGUAAUCUGCUCAAACUGUGACGCCCACAAUAAAAAAGAGAAGCAGGAGAACAGAGAGGAUUUAAAAACAGCCCAAAUUUGCUUUAAUUAUCUCUGAUAAGCAGAUUCCUCUAAUUGCUUUUAAAACCAGUUGACCAUUUUUACCUUCUUACACACACACACACACACACACACACGCACCCACACACGCACACUGCCUGCAAGCCUGCAGUCAAUCCUGAGGGAUUAACCGCCAACUUGGCCCUAAUUUCCAGCCUGACUUUCAUCAGCAGGAGCUUCAUUUUCUGCCCAAAGAGACAAACAGCUGAUUUUCUCUGUUUAUCCUCAUCAGCUCCACCCGCUCCACCCACAGAUCAUCGUCUUUAUUGUCUUUAUUUUCACUUUUAUUCCAUUCUUCUAGCUGCUUUGUCUGCAGACGUCACUUUUGACUGAACCUGCAAAAUAAUGACAAUAAAUUAAAUAUAAAACAUGAACAUGAAGUGUGUGGAAGUUCAAAACCUCAGAAAGGAAAAUGAAUAAAUCAAUGUUUAAAAAAAGAAAUGAAAUAAAAUGGCACCAAAUCCAGGAAAUAAAUCCAACGGAUAAAGUAGGAACUGAGCAUUUGAUUCUUUACUCACUUCCUUGAUUUAAUAGUUUUUUUGCUGAGUUUUGAUUUUUCUGUCUGUAAAUAAAAUUCAUCGAUCAUUAAAACUGA